AGAGCCAGUCACUCCAGAAGAUUUAAGUGCCUUCAUAAAAUGUAAGAGGUCUACCUACAGUGUUAUUUUUUUAUGUAGACUAAAUGUGAUAUUUCCAUUUAUAUUACUUUGGGUUGGGUUUUUUGUUGGUCCCAACAGAUUCGGAUGGUAAUAUCUGCCUCUUGGAGCCUCCUGUCCCAACAGUACCCCAUCCAGUUGAUGAUGGGGAUGAAGAAACUGUUUCUGCUGCCACAGACAGGCCUAGAGAGAGUGUGGAAGAACAGCAGGAGGAAGGUCCAUCAACUUCUGGUGCACAGAUGGACACAGUUCAGUGAUUUACAGUAAAUGCCAGUUUCAUUCUGAAUUGUAGACUACAUUCAUGAUGUGACUCUAAUCUAAUGUAUUUUCAGUUGCCAGUUAAGGAGUUAUAUAGACUUCUUCUUAUUAAAAAGAUAGAAAAAAACAGCAAAGAACUUGUAUACUUGGACCGCCAGAUCCAAAAGGCAGAUCUGGAAAUCGACAUUCUGAAACUAAAGCUAGAGGUGAGUGUAUGGUCACAGGUGAAUUCUAGGAAGUAUUGAAACUAUUUUAAAAUCUUUUUUUUUUUUUUUUUAGCAAAUGAAGAACACCAUAUAAAUUGCUGUGAUUUUGUUUAUUAAUUAGUUUAUUUUGUGGUUGCAUUUGUAUGAAAUAAAGAACACCAUAAAUUGCUGUGAUUUUGUGUUUAUUCAUUUUUUUUUGUGGUGGUGGUGGAUAUCAUGUGUAUUAAUCUGAGAAGACAUUGCGGCAUAUCAUAUCCCGGACUACCCUUCCAUCCUGGAAAUCUGCAGGGUUGAUGGGCUCUUCCUCAGGGUCUUGUAAUUGUAGGGCAGGGUGUUGCUCCCCUCUAAUUAUGGCAAUAUUAUGGAGAACAACACAUG